rnacentral:rRNA from 1 species
UCGAGGAUCUUCGGCAAUGGGCGCAAGCCUGACCGAGCGACGCCGCGUGUGCGAUGAAGGCCUUCGGGUUGUAAAGCACUGUCGAGGGGGAGGAAGCCCGCAAGGGUUGACCUAGCCCUGGAGGAAGCACGGGCUAAGUUCGUGCCAGCAGCCGCGGUAAGACGAACCGUGCGAACGUUGUUCGGAAUCACUGGGCUUAAAGGGCGCGUAGGCGGGCCGCCAGGUCGGGGGUGAAAUGCCGCAGCUUAACUGUGGAAGUGCCCCCGAUACCGGCGGCCUCGAGGGGGGUAGGGGCGUGUGGAACUUCCGGUGGAGCGGUGAAAUGCGUAGAUAUCGGAAGGAACGCCGGUGGCGAAAGCGACACGCUGGACCCUCUCUGACGCUGAGGCGCGAAAGCCAGGGGAGCAAACGG